AAUCCAUGAUGUGGGCACUUCCACAAAAGAUCCUUGAAUCGCUCCUAUGUCUUAAACAAAUACUCAAGCUCCAUCUGAAUAAAUGAUGAUAUCUCAUUGUGAAGCUU